rnacentral:rRNA from 1 species
UACAGAGGUCUCAAGCGUUGUUCGGAUUCAUUGGGCGUAAAGGGUGCGUAGGCGGUGGGGCAAGUCAGGUGUGAAAUCCCGGAGCUCAACUCCGGAACUGCACUUGAUACUGCUUUACUAGAGUACUGGAGAGGAGACUGGAAUUUACGGUGUAGCAGUGAAAUGCGUAGAUAUCGUAAGGAAUACCGAUGGCGAAGGCAGGUCUCUGGGCUGACACUGACGCUCAUGCACGAAAGCGUGGGGAGCAAACAGG